rnacentral:rRNA from 1 species
UACGUAGGGGUGCAAGCGUUGUCCGGAAUUAUUGGGCGUAAAGAGCUCGUAGGCGGUUUGUCGCGUCGGCUGUGAAAACUGGAGGCUUAACCUUCAGCGUGCAGUCGAUACGGGCAGACUUGAGUUCGGUAGGGGAGACUGGAAUUCCUGGUGUAGCGGUGAAAGUGCGCAGAUAUCAGGAGGAACACCGGUGGCGAAGGCGGGUCUCUGGGCCGAUACUGACGCUGAGGAGCGAAAGCGUGGGGAGCGAACAGG